rnacentral:lncRNA from 1 species
GAAUCUCACAACAUAUGUUUGGAUAGCACUUCCCAGCCUACAACGCACUUUCUCAGGGAUUCUCAAACUUCCUCCCACCUCACAUCCUUUUAAGAGUGUUGCUGGAGAUGGCCACUGGAGAGGCUGAGUCAAAUCAAUCUCCUCACCUGAGGACUUCCUAAGACCAGCGCACUGAAGGACCAGCAGCAACAACAACAAUAAUGCUAAUGCUCCCUUAUGGACAAGACUGCAAUUCUCUGCCUGCUGAAGCUCAGCUAUGACCACGUGACUUGCCUUGGCCAAUGAAAGAGGAAGAGUAUGUAACACUGCUGAAUGGAAGCAAGUGGCCCCUGCCCCUGCUGCAGAGAUUCUAGACAUGUGUGCCAUGCUGGAGCAAGGAGACAGGGAGUCCUGGAGAAAGGAGACAUGGAACAGAGCUCCCAGCCCAGUCAAUAUGUAACAUGAGUGAGAAAUAAAUAACACUUUGUUGCUAGAAGUUUUUUUUAAACUGAAGUAUAACUCAGCUUCCCCUGACCCAUGCAGAAAGUCAUCUAUCAAUGUUAAGUAUCACUAAAUUUAUUUUACAGAAGAAGAAUCUAAAGCUCAGAGUAGUGGUCUCAAUAUCACUCAGCAAUUAUGUGAUGGAAGCAUACUGAAGGCCCACGUUUUAAAGUGGACACCAAGGGGAAUAUAGCAUAAAUAGAAAUUUUCUAACUGCAGGGAAUUCUUGCUAUACAACUGCAAAGAAUAGGCCCCACUACUUCCUAGCUGUGCCUCAAUUUCCUGAUCAGUUAAAUGGGACUAAUAAAAGAGCAGCUAGUGGCUGGGUGCGGUGGCUCACGCCUGUAAUCCCAGCACUUUGGGAGGCCGAGGCGGGCAGAUCAAGAGGUCAGGAGAUCGAGACCACAGUGAAACCCCGUCUCUACUAAAAAUACAAAAAAUUAGCUGUGCGCAGUGGCGGGUGCCUGUAGUCCCAGCUACUCGGGAGGCUGAGGUAGGAGAAUGUCGUUAACUCGGAAGGCGGAGCUUGCAGUGAGCCGAGAUCGCGCCACUGCACUCCAGUCUGGGCGACAGAGGGAGACUCUGUCUCAAAAAAAACGACAACAACAAAAAAAAAAAAAAAAAAAAAAAAGAAAGAGUAGCUAGUGCAAGAGAUGGAGAAGGGAUUAAAUGAAAAUACAUGUAAAUUGCUCAUAAGAUUAUCUAGAAUAAACCGAACAUUCAAAAAUGUUAGUUACUAUUAUUAUUAACAAUUGCUAUUAUAAUCCUAAUAUCACCUGUUUCUCAUCAGUCGGUGGAUACAAGCAAUUACAUUUACAUAAAUAUGUAAAGCAAUAAAGCCAAACCAGAGACUCCUAA